GUGGUCUAGGCUAUGGCUUUUGGUUGAUGUACCUGACGGCCUAGCCAUGACCUAGAGAAAUCCCCCAGAGGUAACCCUCGCUGGGGCCCUCUGGGCAGUAACAGGUGUGGGUCUCUCAAAGUGUCUGAUACCCAUGUAUGAUACUGCGCACAGCC